GGGAGAGAAAGGCUAACUAAUAUUAACAGGUUUGUACUACUUCAAUUGUGGGUUCGAUUCCCACCUCUCCCA
rnacentral:tRNA from 1 species